AAACUUAUUAUCGCACACGGUGGAUCACUCGGCACUCACGUCGAUGAAGAGCGCAGCUAGCUGCGUUACUUGAUGCAAAAUGCAUUUACAUCGAGCAUCGACACCUUGAACGCACAUUGCAGCUUUGAGAUUUUAUCUCGAAGCUACGCCUGUUCGAGGGCUGU
rnacentral:rRNA from 1 species